GAUGAACGCUGGCGGCGUGCCUAAUACAUGCAAGUCGAGCGAACAGAUGAGGAGCUUGCUCCUCUGACGUUAGCGGCGGACGGGUGAGUAACACGUGGAUAACCUACCUAUAAGACUGGGAUAACUUCGGGAAACCGGAGCUAAUCCCGGAUAAUAUAUUGAACCGCAUGGUUCAAUAGUGAAAUACGGUUUUGCUGUCACUUAUAGAUGGUUCCGCGCCGCAUUAGCUAGUUGGUAAGGUAACGGCUUACCAAGGCAACGAUGCGUAGCCGACCUGAGAGAGGGAUAGGCGACACUGGAACGGAGACACGGUCCAGACGCCUACGGGAGGCAGCAGUAGGGAAUCUGCCGCAAUGGGCGAAAGCCUGACGGAGCAACGCCGCGUGAGUGAUGAAGGUCUUCGGAGCGUAAAACUCUGUUAUGAGGGAAGAACAAAUGUGUAAGUAACCAUGCACGUCUUGACGGUACCUAAUCAGAAAGCCACGGCUAACUACGUG
rnacentral:rRNA from 1 species